rnacentral:rRNA from 1 species
UACAGAGGGGGCAAGCGUUGUUCGGAAUUACUGGGCGUAAAGGGCGCGUAGACGGCCUUCUAAGUCGAACGUGAAAUCCCCGGGCUCAACCCGGGAACUGCGUCCGAUACUGGAAGGCUUGAAUCCGGGAGAGGGACGCGGAAUUCCAGGUGUAGCGGUGAAAUGCGUAGAUAUCUGGAGGAACACCGGUGGCGAAGGCGGCAUCCUGGACCGGCAUUGACGCUGAGGCGCGAAAGCCAGGGGAGCAAACGGG